GAGGUGGGAGGAUUGCUUGGCCCUGGGAGGUUGAGGCUACAGUGAGCUGUGAUUGCACCACUGCACUCCAGCCUGAGUGACAGAGUGAGACCCUGUCUCA
rnacentral:miRNA from 1 species